GGUACUGUUUUGUUUUUUUUCACAGGGAUGGACAGGAACUUCUUUUUCUGUAUUGAGUGGCAUGGCCAUAGGCAAUUGAUGACCGACUUAACAAAUUCAACUUUCCAUUUUUUUGGGGGAAAAAAAUUAAGUAACUCCUGCAGCUUGGAAAGCAGUGUUUUUUUCCAUACUGAAGGAUGGUCACUGGUCCACAGAUUGGAUGUGUAGGAAAGCUUUGUUCUUGGAUGAGUGGGUCGUCAAUUCGCACCAGCUUUUUUC